UACGUAGGCAGCAAGCGUUGUUCGGAGUUACUGGGCGUAAAGGGUGCGUAGGCGGCUUUUUAAGUUUGGUGUGAAAUCUCCCGGCUCAACUGGGAGGGUGCGCCGAAUACUGAGAGGCUAGAGUGCGGGAGAGGAAAGUGGAAUUCCUGGUGUAGCGGUGAAAUGCGUAGAGAUCGGAAGGAACGUCAAUGGCGAAGGCAGCUGUCUGGACUAAUACUGACACUGAGGCGCGAAAGCGUGGGGAGCAAACAGG
rnacentral:rRNA from 1 species